GUGUGCGUCGUCCGCACGGGUGGCGCUUUAGGUGACCAUGAGCAGCUUCCAAGCACACGUGGCGAAGCUAGCGCGGGCGGCGGAGAGCGUCUCUGCAGAUGCCGAGCAGGCCCCCCCGGCCGUCGCGAUCCCGCUGCGCGAGGCCGCCCAGUCGCUGCCGCCGCACAUCAUCGCCGCGACAGACCCGGUCAAGCUGAACAAGCAAGCGUCGAUUUUCCGCUGCCCUGCAUGGGCGGGUCUGCCGUCGCGGCCUUUCCAUCUUCACUGUGUGCGAGGCAAGGUGCCGUAUCCCGCCCUUGGUCUGCAGAGGUUUCCGUACUACCUCUUUGGCAAGAACCCAGUGUGCGAUUACGUGCUGGAGCACCCCUCCAUCAGCUCCGUGCACGCCGCGCUUAUCUUCAACAAGGAGCACGUCUGCUUUGUGCUGCUUGACCUGGGCUCCACCAACGGGGUGCGACUCGAAGGGAAGCGUGUGGAGCCGCGCAAGCCCAUCCCUAUCGCGGUCGGGUCGGUGUUGCAGUUUGGCUACAGCACGCGCACCUACGAGCUCCGCGCGGGGGCGCCGCCGCAGCUGAAGCGCCUUCGCGAGGACGGUGACGAAGAUACGGCGGCGCAGCGGCACGGGUCGGGGUUGGCGUCGGCGGACAGUGGACUCUGUGAAGCAGACAAGGUGUCGCUCUCUGCUGCUGUCGCCGGCACCGCCACCUGCCCAGCGACAGCGCCAAGUGCCGUGAUCACUUCGGCCACCAGCGCCGCUACCGCUGUGUCCCCGGCACCCGAAGGACAGGUGGCGAACGAGCCAAGAACAUCCUCCACGACUGCAGAGGCUGCCACUUCCAGUGCCCACGGCGCUGUUACCAGCGAUGUUGGACGGAUGGCUGAACCUGCGGCGACGACCGUAAUGCAUGCAACUGCAGAUGCAACCGGCGGCUCGCCGGCAGAAGCUGCGACUGCCUCUGCAGCGGCGGAGUAUGCCCCCAUUCACCUCUUCCAGCUCGUCAUCAAGCACAAAGACGUUGAGAACCCUAUCUCGCGUGGGCGCAACAAGGGCGAGAUCAUCACCCGCUCUCGCGCCGACGCACUUGACAUGGCGCGUUACAUUCUGGCCGACCAUCGGCGGCGAGUGCCAGUCGCUCCAGAUCUUGGCUUCUCGCCAUGGACCCCUGAGGAGUUCGUUGCGGCUGUCGACGAGUACUGUGAGAUGUCAGCGAAGAAGAAGCGCGGCGACCUGGGGGUGGUCGAGAAGGGCACCUUCGCGGACGAGAUCGACAAGGCGGCGUUUAGGCUGCGCCGCGGCGAGGUGAGUGCGCCGGUGGAGACACAGCUCGGUGUCCACCUCUUGUAUCGCUGCGAUUGAGCGUGCCCGCGUGUGCGCUGGGUCCAGGCUGCAUGUAUGGGCCGCAGUUAUCCUUUUCCCUGCGCGUGCGCUUUACGAUGGCGUGGGUGGAGGGGGAGGCCAACGAAAAAAAAAAAUAGGUGAGCAACUACGGUUCAUUUUUUUCGUGUGGGUCUGUCCUGGCGUAUUUCGCGGGUGGGGUGGAUGAAGGCUAGCCGCGGUGAGACCUACCAAAGGCAGGGCGACGGCGCCUUUGUUGUUUCUCCACUGUGAGAGCGGCCGUAAUACUUCCGUAUCACGGCCGUCGCGACAUCCGAGGACGCCGCUCUGAUGCUUAUGUGCUACCUGUGAGUAGCUGCUCAUCCGCGCUUCUCUCCGAUCCUCUUUUUUCUUUUCUCUCGUGGUCACGCCUCUCUCGUGAACCUCGGCUUUCUUUUUCACGCAUUUCUGUCUGUCUCGCCAUCCCUCCGCUAAG
rnacentral:misc_RNA from 1 species